rnacentral:rRNA from 2 species
GCAUGUCUAAGUAUAAGCAAUUAUACGGCGAAACUGCGAAUGGCUCAUUAUAUAAGUUAUCGUUUAUUUGAUAGCACCUUACUACUUGGAUAACCGUGGUAAUUCUAGAGCUAAUACAUGCUGGAAAUCCCGACUUCGGAAGGGAUGUAUUUGUUAGAUUAAAAACCAAUGCCCCCUGGGCUCGCUGGUGAAUCAUGAUAACUGCUCGAAUCGCAUGGCCUUGCGCCGGCGAUGGCUCAUUCAAAUUUCUUCCCUAUCAACUUUCGAUGUUUGGGUAGUGGCCAAACAUGGUUGCAACGGGUAACGGAGGGUUAGGGCUCGACCCCGGAGAAGGAGCCUGAGAAACGGCUACUACAUCCAAGGAAGGCAGCAGGCGCGCAAAUUACCCAAUCCGACACGGGGAGGUAGUGACAAUAAAUACUGAUACAGGGCUCUUUUGGGUCUGUAAUUGGAAUGAGUACAAUUUAAAUCCCUUAACGAGGAACAAUUGGAGGGCAAGUCUGGUGCCAGCAGCCGCGGUAAUUCCAGCUCCAAUAGCGUAUAUUAAAGUUGUUGUGGUUAAAAAGCUCGUAGUUGAACCUUGGGCCUGGCUGGCCGGUCCGCCUCACCGCGUGCACUGGUCCGGCCGGGCCUUUCCCUCUGUGGAACCCCAUGCCCUUCGCUGGGCGUGGCGGGGAAACAGGACUUUUACUUUGAAAAAAUUAGAGUGCUCCAGGCAGGCUAUGCUCGAUACAUUAGCAUGGAAUAAUGAAAUAGGACGUGCGGUUCUAUUUUGUUGGUUUCUAGGACCGCCGUAAUGAUUAAUAGGGACAGUCGGGGGCAUCAGUAUUCAAUUGUCAGAGGUGAAAUUCUUGGAUUUAUUGAAGACUAACUACUGCGAAAGCAUUUGCCAAGGAUGUUUUCAUUAAUCAGGAACGAAAGUUAGGGGAUCGAAGACGAUCAGAUACCGUCGUAGUCUUAACCAUAAACUAUGCCGACUAGGGAUCGGGCGAUGUUAUUUUUUGACUCGCUCGGCACCUUACGAGAAAUCAAAGUGCUUGGGCUCCAGGGGGCGCAUGGUCGCAAGGCUGAAACUUAAAGAAAUUGACGGAAGGGCACACCAGGGGUGGCAUGGCGGCUUAAUUUGACUCAACACGGGGAAACUCACCAGGUCCAGACACAAUGAGAUUGACAGAUUGAGAGCUCUUUCUUGAUUUUGUGGGUGGUGGUGCAUGGCCGUUCUUAGUUGGUGGAGUGUUUGUCUGUUAAUUGCGAUAACGAACGAGACCUUAACCUGCUAAAUAGCGGCCGUCAGGCGGCGCGCCGGUU